AGUGAACGCUGGCGGUAGGCCUAACACAUGCAAGUCGAACGGCAGCACAGGAGAGCUUGCUCUCUGGGUGGCGAGUGGCGGACGGGUGAGGAAUCCAUCGGAAUCUACUUUUUCGUGGGGGAUAACGUAGGGAAACUUACGCUAAUACCGCAUACGACCUACGGGUGAAAGCAGGGGACCUUCGGGCCUUGCGCGAUUGAAUGAGCCGAUGUAGGAUUAGCUAGGUGGCGGGGUAAAGGCCCACCAAGGCGACGAUCCGUAGCUGGUCUGAGAGGAGGAUCGGCCACACUGGAACUGAGACACGGUCCAGACUCCUACGGGAGGCAGCAUUGGGGAAUAUUGGACAAUGGGCGCAAGCCUGAUCCAGCCAUACCGCGUGGGUGAAGAAGGCCUUCGGGUUGUAAAGCCCUUUUGUUGGGAAAGAAAUCCAGCUGGCUAAUACCCGGUUGGGAUGACGGUACCCAAAGAAUAAGCACCGGCUAACUUCGUGCCAGCCGCCGCGGUAA
rnacentral:rRNA from 1 species